rnacentral:rRNA from 1 species
UACGUAGGUGACAAGCGUUGUCCGGAUUUACUGGGCGUAAAGAGCGCGCAGGCGGUCGUUCAAGUCGAGUGUGAAAGCCCCCGGCUCAACUGGGGAGGGUCACUCGAUACUGAUCGACUCGAAGGCAGGAGAGGGAAGUGGAAUUCCCGGUGUAGUGGUGAAAUGCGUAGAUAUCGGGAGGAACACCGGUGGCGAAGGCGGGUCUCUGGGCAUCUCCUGACGCUGAGGCGCGAAAGCGUGGGGAGCAAACGGGG